CUCUACCUACGGGGCGCAGCAGUGAGGAAUAUUGGUCAAUGGUCGGGAGACUGAACCAGCCAAGCCGCGUGAGGGAGGAAGGUACAGAGUAUCGUAAACCUCUUUUGUCAGGGAACAAAGACUGGGACGCGUCCCCGGAUGAGUGCACCUGAAGAAAAAGCAUCGGCUAACUCCGUGCCAGCAGCCGCGGUAAUACGGAGGAUGCGAGCGUUAUCCGGAUUUAUUGGGUUUAAAGGGUGCGCAGGCGGUCUGUUAAGUCAGCGGUCAAAGCCCGGGGCUCAACCCCGGCCCGCCGUUGAAACUGG
rnacentral:rRNA from 1 species